GAAAGGAAGCUACCGCACGAUUUCGCUCCUCGGUGGAGGAGAAAGAAAAGAAGCAGACGGGCAGAGACGAGCCAGACGGAAACAAGCCGGAGAUCCUUCAGGGCUGAGUGCUGGUUCUGGCAGGGACCGGGCUGAGUGCCUGAGGUACCAGUUUCUGAAAGAUGAAAACUCGUUGGUGCAACGUCACUCCAAGAAAACCACCUUGGGCACACAUCCUGGGGAGUCGAAUCCAGCCAACCCCUAGGGAGCAGCCCUUGGGGUUCUUACUUCCACCAGGACGUGCAGUUCCCGAACG